rnacentral:rRNA from 1 species
GAUGAACGCUGGCGGCGUGCCUAAUACAUGCAAGUCGAGCGAACAGAUGAGGAGCUUGCUCCUCUGACGUUAGCGGCGGACGGGUGAGUAACACGUGGAUAACCUACCUAUAAGACUGGGAUAACUUCGGGAAACCGGAGCUAAUUCCGGAUAAUAUAUUGAACCGCAUGGUUCAAUAGUGAAAGACGGUUUUGCUGUCACUUAUAGAUGGAUCCGCGCCGCAUUAGCUAGUUGGUAAGGUAACGGCUUACCAAGGCGACGAUGCGUAGCCGACCUGAGAGGGUGAUCGGCCACACUGGAACUGAGACACGGUCCAGACUCCUACGGGAGGCAGCAGUAGGGAAUCUUCCGCAAUGGGCGAAAGCCUGACGGAGCAACGCCGCGUGAGUGAUGAAGGUCUUCGGAUCGUAAAACUCUGUUAUUAGGGAAGAACAAAUGUGUAAGUAACUAUGCACGUCUUGACGGUACCUAAUCAGAAAGCCACGGCUAACUACGUG